ACCUGUCACACACUGAAGGCCUAUAGGUUCACCACUGUACUAACCUGUCACACACUGAAGUCCUAUAGGUUCACCACUGUACUAACCUGUUACAUACUGAAGACCUAUAGGUUCACCACUGUAAUAACCUGUCACACACUGAAGUCCUAUAGGUUCACCACUGUACUAACCUAUUACAUACUGAAGACCUAUAGGUUCACCACUGUACUAACCUGUCACACACUGAAGACCUAUAGGUUCACCACUGUACUAACCUGUCACACACUGAAGGCCUAUAGGUUCACCACUGUACUACCCUGUCACACACUGAGACUAUAGGUUACCACUGUACUAACCUGCCACACACACUGAAGACCUAUAGGUUCACCACUGUACUAACCUGUCACACACUGAAGACCUAUAGGUUCACCACUGUACUAACCUGCACACACUGAAGACCUAUAGGUUCACCACUGUACUAACCUGUCACACACUGAAGGCCUAUAGGUUCACCACUGUACUAACCUGUCACACACUGAAGACCUAUAGGUUCACAUGUACUAACCUGUCACACACACAUGAAGACCUAUAGGUUCACCACUGUCAACACUGAAGCCUAUAGGUUCACCACUGUACUAACCUGUCACACACUGAAGUCCUAUAGGUUCACCCACUGUACUAACCUGUCACACACUGAAGACCUAUAGGUUCACCACUGUACUAACCUGUCUAACACUGAAGACCUAUAGGUUCACCACUGUACUAACCUGUCACACACACACUGAAGUCCUAUAGGUUCACCACUGUACUAACCUGUUACACACUGAAGGCCUACAGGUUCACCACUUUACUAACCUGUCACACACUGAAGUCCUAUAGGUUCACCCAUGUACUAACCUGUCACACACUGAAGACCUAUGGUUCACCACUGUACUAACCUGUCAUACACUGAAGACCUAUAGGUUCACCACUGUACUAACCUGUCACACACAACUGAAGUCCUAUAGGUUCACCACUGUACUAACCUGUUACACACUGAAGGCCUACAGGUUCACACUUUACUAACCUGUCACACACUGAGACCUAUAGGUUCACCACUGUACUAACCUGUACACACUGAAGACCUAUAGGUUCACCACUGUACUAACCUGUCACACACUGAAGACCUAUAGGUUCACCACUGUACUAACCUGUCACACACUGAAGACCUAUAGGUUCACCACUGUACUAACCUGUCACACUGAGGUCCUAUAGGUUCACCACGUGUACUAACCUGUCACACACUGAAGACCUAU
rnacentral:lncRNA from 1 species